UCUGAUAUUCAAAUCCCCUUAAUUUUCAUCUGAUCUUCAAACCCUUAAUUUUGAUCUUUCAGUCAGCAUUUCUACUUUAUACAAUCUCAUUUCAAAUAGUUUCCAUUCAAAUCUCUUUCUCUCUCUUUCUGUUAAUUUUCAAGCACCGGAGCUUUGGCCCUCUCUGUUCCUGCUGUCUGAUUUCUCUUCGUCUAAUAAUAUUUUGCUUGUGCUUUAUUUUCUUUUCAGUUGCGCUGUUAUUUAUAUUGUUUCCUAUUCUUUUCGUUUCUGUUCUUGUUUUCUUCUCGUAACCAUGGAUGCAGGAUCUUUGAGUUCUUCUGGAGCCCUCAAAGAUCGGAUGACGCUAUCCUCUUCGAGAACAGUUUAUUCAAAGAAAGAGUUCCCAAAAAAAUGUAAAGAAAUUAUGGCAAGAUUUUUUUCCCUGAUUAUAAUUUGUGUAUAUUUUGCAUGAUUGUCGGGGCAACAUUUUAGAUUAGUGUUUAAAAUCUAAGUAAUUAGAAGUUCUAAUUUUGUAGAAAUGUUCAGAAAACUUGAAAUUAGUUUAAUAUUUUCAAAGAUUUUGAAUGGCUUUGAAAACUAAAGAUGAUAAAUCUUCAUGUCUUACUUUGAAUUUGUUUAUGGAAAGCCACCUGCACCAGCUGACUUAAUUCCGGGAAAAUGCACCAUCUCUUCCUCUAUUAUUUCCCAACACUACAAUUUGAACCCUUUGGGGGCAUGCCGUUUUUAACACAUGCACCUCCUCCUGCAAUGUUCUUUCAGGUUGCCAAACCUCUCUCGCCAAUACAAUAGUCAACCAAAUUGAUUAUUACUUCAAUUGAUUAUUAUUUCAAGUAAAUUAUUGUUUGUUCUUCGUUAUUUACUGUAGUGUUUCCCAACAAAUCUUUGCAGUUGAAUUUUAUCUUCAAUGUUCUUUUGUUUAUGCAGUGAUGCUAAUUCAGUUGCGCUGUUAUUUAUAUUGUUUCCUAUUCUUUUCGGUUUUUGUUCUUGUUUUCUUCUCGUAACCAUGGAUGCAGGAUCUUUGAGUUCUUCUGGAGCCCUCAAUAUCGGAUAAUGCAGGAUCUUUGAGUUCUUCUGGAGCCCUCAAUAUCGGAUGACGCUAUCCGAACAGUUUAUUCAAAGAAAGAGUUCCAAAAAAAAUGUUGCCAAACCUCUCUCGCCGAUACAAUAGUCAACCAAAUUGAUUAUUACUUCAAUGAUGCUAAUUUAGUGAGGGAUGAGUAUUUAAGGUUCAACAUGGAUGAACAAAGAUGGGUUCCAAUUUCUUUGAUUGCAAGCUUCCUCGUGUCUUCUUCUUACUCUUGCUAUUGCCAUUUUGUUAUAUCUACAGUAGAUUUCAGUGGCUUCAGUUCUUCUACAUGUCAACAUCGAGAGAAUUACUACGACUGGACAGUGUUUUACGCUCUCCAGUAUACUCAUCAUUCACGGAAACAUUUGAUGGAUCAUCAACUAUUAGGGCGUUUAAAUCUGAAUCCGCCGUGAACAAGAUCCCCUUCUAGUCGGAGGAAAAAGCCGAUGUUAGCAAGAUGCUAGUGCUCAUGCCAAGAGAGGCUGCAAAUAGCCACUCUCCCAGAUUCCAUGCAAGUGCUAGAAUCCGAUCUGACUCCUCACGCUGGCAAGGAUAGAAAUGACAUACAUAAAGGGAGGUCCUAACUGAAUGAAUUGAGGUUGAGUAAAAGCCAUUCGCUUGAGAACAAUUCUGCGAUUGGAACUCGAUCUGGGAUUGGGAUCUUAGGGCACUGAGAACCUACUGUAUAGUACAUUCAAGAGUACUCCUAAAAAAAGAAAGAAAAAAAAGGCACACCCUAAGUCAUUUUAUAGUAAUGAUAAUAAAUAGAACUUUGUAUCAUGUUGAAGAACUUUACUCAACAAGGGUACUUAAGAUAUAUAUUGCAUAUCAAUAAGAUUUGAGGACGAGAAGAUAGCUAUUUGUUUAAAA